UACGGGGGGGGUAAGCGUUGUUCGGAAUUACUGGGCGUAAAGGGCUCGUAGGCGGCCAACUAAGUCGAACGUGAAAUCCCCGGGCUCAACCCGGGAACUGCGUCCGAUACUGGAAGGCUUGAAUCCGGGAGAGGGAUGUGGAAUUCCAGGUGUAGCGGUGAAAUGCGUAGAUAUCUGGAGGAACACCGGUGGCGAAGGCGACAUCCUGGACCGGUAUUGACGCUGAGGCGCGAAAGCCAGGGGAGCAAACGGG
rnacentral:rRNA from 1 species